AACAACUGAAUCUAAUCUUAAAGCCUACUUUUGUCGAUAUCUUCGGCACUAACUCAACCAUUAAAUGCACAUUCAAAAACCAAAAUAAAAAACCUUCAGCAUAUCUUCAUUAUUCAAAAUCUAAUACAAAAGACAUUGCAUUUUACUAAUAACCAUAAAAAACAAAACCCUCAAAGUACAACAACAUGAAAAGGUUUCAAAUCAGAUCCAUUUAUCAUAAAUCAUAACUGAAAUAAAAACAAAACAAAUCAGCUAAGAAAAAAACCCAGAAGCACAUUAUCAUUAAACUAAAUUAAGGUGUUCUACAAAUAUAAUCACUACCGACAAUGAUAAACACAAAAAACAAAAACUACACGUUAUAUAUAGUAAUAACAACAAAAUUAAAGUAAAACAAAAAUUACCCAGAAAAACGAAUCAAUCAAGAAAGCAAAACUCGAGUAGAAUGGAUCCGAAGUUGGAGGAAAAUUAUAAAAGGGUGCAAGAAUUGUAAAAAGAAAUUGAGAAGGAAAAGAGACUUACGAAGGGGUUUUGGCGAUGAAUGAAUUGGAAGGAACAGAGAGAGAUAGAUCGAUCGAAAGUGAAGUGAAUGCAAAGAAUGAAUUUUGUAGUUUUUGGGUGGAAGCAAGAAAGGGACAAAGAGAAGAAGAUCGAGAAUCUGUAAUGCGUUGGUCUGAAUGAAAUUAUUCACACAAAUCGCAUUGGGUAUUCACUUGGAUUGGGUUGGGUUGGGUUGAUUUGCUUGAUAUGGGCCAAGCCCGCCUUUAUA
rnacentral:lncRNA from 1 species